rnacentral:rRNA from 1 species
UGAAGCGGGAAAAGCUCAAAUUUAAAAUCUGAUAGUUUUUAACUGUCCGAGUUGUAAUCUAGAGAAGUGUUAUCCGUGCUGGACCGUGUAUAAGUCUCCUGGAAUGGAGCGUCAUAGAGGGUGAGAAUCCCGUCUUUAACAUGGGCUACCAGUGCAAUAGUGAUAUGCUCUCAAAGAGUCGAGUUGUUUGGGAAUGCAGCUCAAAAUGGGUGGUAAAUUCCAUCUAAAGCUAAAUAUUGGCGAGAGACCGAUAGCGAACAAGUACCGUGAGGGAAAGAUGAAAAGAACUUUGGAAAGAGAGUUAAACAGUACGUGAAAUUGUUGAAAGGGAAACGCUUGAAGUCAGUCACAUUGAUCAGAGAUCAAUCUUGCUAUUAUUUUGCAGGGUGUAUUCUCUGGUUGAUGGGUCAGCAUCAAUUUUGACUGUCGGAAAAAGGCUGAGGGAAUGUAUCAUCCCUGUUGAUGUGUUAUAGCCCUUGGUUGUAUACGACAGAUGAGAUUGAGGAACUCAGCAUGCCGCAAGGCCAGGUUUUAAACCAUGUUCAUGCUUAGGAUGCUGGCAAAAUGGCUUUAAUCGACCCGUCUUGAAACACGGACCAAGGAGUCUAACAUACCUGCGAGUGUUUGAGUGGAAAACUCGAGCGCAUAAUGAAAGUGAAAGUUGAGAUCCUUGUCAUGAGGAGCAUCGAUGCCCAGACCAGAACUUUUGGGACGGAUCUGCGGUAGAGCAUGUAUGUUGGGACCCGAAAGAUGGUGAACUAUGCCUGAAUAGGGUGAAGCCAGAGGAAACUCU